CUACAACAGAGGGCAGCUACCCACCGGUGUGUGACAGAAAGGACAUGCCGCCAACGAGACAUAUGAGGCCGGGCAGGCGAUUGCUAACGCGGUGGUCAAUCAUGGAUCAGGGAAAGCGAAGGCAGGAGCGUGAGGUGAACUGAAUUUCAGCACCAUGCAGGACAGACGAGCUCUACAGCAUGUUGUGUGAUCAGCUGAGCGCACCAUCCCCUCCGAGCUCCCUGACCUGCAUUCAAUCUACAGCAGGCAGUGCUGGACCAAGGCCAGGAAGAUCGUGAAGGACCUCAACCAUCUCAACAAUGGACUGUUCUCUCUGUUGAGGUCAGGAAAGCGAUUCCGCUCCCUGAAGACCAACACAGAGAGACUGAGGAGAAGCUUCUUUCCGCAGGCGAUACGGUCUCUCAAUCACACCACCACAUAGUACUGACCCACACAUAUGGUUUUUACACACACACUGGACAUUCUGGACAUUUGUUUACACUAGUGGCCACUGCACAACUACACUGCGUGGUCAUCUAAUCACAUCACUCUAUCACAAGUCACUUAAAUAAAUCACUUUUAAGCAUAUUUGCACUGCACAAGACACUUAAAUAAGUGGAUUGCACAACCCUGGACAUUACAUUUCUUACAUUACCAUCUU
ensembl:lncRNA